CUCCUUACUGUCUUCCUGCUCGAGGAGGAAGCGCCCAGAGGGCAAGGCGCCUUUUUCUUUUUUCUUUUUUCUUCUGUAUCGAAUUUAAUAUUGUAUCCCAAGGAUCUAGAAAUGUUUUCAGCACAUUGUAAACACUCAAUAAAUACUUGUGGGAUGAAUGAACGAAUGAAUGAGUCUGGGGCAUCUCUGCAGGCCAAGCAAUCUUUAAUUCGGACGGAGUAGCGCUGCCAUCUGGUGUCUGAAACUUGAAAUUGCAAGUACAAAUUCCAGGGUGCGAAGAAGACUCCAGGGGACCAACCAGUCUUGUGAGUUGAAUCCUGUUCAAUGUUUCAAAUGCCACCACCUGACUUCAAACAUCUCAAAGACCCACACACUGUGACUUUUUGUCUUGUUUUGUUUUUGCCUGUUUUGUGCCCCUAUUCGGAAGACCUGGUCAACCCCACCAAGAGUUUGCUCCGAUGUUUCUAAAAUCAAUUGUGCACGGAAAUACUUCCUUCCUGGAAGAAGGAGUCAUGAGAAGAGUUCAGUGCUGAGCGAGAAUGAAAGUGGGAGGCAGGACCAUGUGUUAUGAGGGACCAGUGAAAAAGCCUGAGGGGAGGGAGGGACAGAGGCAAAAAGCCUUUGAGACCAGACCUAGUUUCAACUUGACUGUGAGUCUACUUCAAGCCUUUGAGACCAGACCUAGUUCCAACUUGACUAAACAAUAGACAAUGUCACAAUGUUGAAUGCGGGUGGAUGCUACAUUACAGUUCAGUCACCAAGAGUCAAGAGACCUCUAGGGUAAGGAGGGAAGUGAAGGCUGGACGAGCCAUGUUGUGUGGGAGGAGGGUGUGAUUUGGGUAAGGACAUGGAGGUCUGUCCUGGUGAUGGGUUCAAUGUACUAAGGGAGAAAUAACUACGUCUGGCAAGAUCGCAAAAGCUUAGGGGGUCUUAGGAAAAAGAGUGAGUUAUAGUUUCCACCCAUGUGUCCAGUCACAAGUCCAUCAUUUUAUCCUGAAAGAGGAAGACAUGCAGGAAGUCCCUGAAGUGAAAGCUGGAAAUAUGGAUGCUAUCUCCUUCCAGACCCAAGAGCUUUGAACCCCAGAUCGCAAUGCAAUUUCAAAUCUAGGACAAAUAUUUCCCCUGAAUUUGUCUAGAAGGAGGCGCCUGAACAAGCCACAUUUUCUAGAGGUCCUGGGGUUAGAGGCUCAGGCUCCAUGGUCAGAAUGCCCACCCUGCUCUGGAUCUCAAAGGCUCUGCUUCCCUGCAAAGCCUGGUUCCAAGCAGUUUCUUUCGGGCUGUUGACCUGGGUCCUGGGAGAAGUCACAGAGGGAAACACAUGGUCCUGCUGAGAUGAAUUCCUUCCAUCUGGACAUUACUGUGUUUGGCAGAAAGAGGCGGCCGGGACUGAAAACACAAAGCCAUAGCUUGAAAGUGCUUGCAUUUGCAUUUUGCAGAAUUUCUGGUCUGGCUAUCCUAGGUCAACAAUGACUCUUCCUAAGAAGAGCUAAGAUUUCUGUGGUCCUAGGGAUUGGCUGCCCUGAGCUGGGGAGAGGCUGGGGUUGAGGCCAAGCUGGAUGUUGAGUCAGUUUAUGAAGGGCCAGCUGUGUUUCCCAGCCCGGGCCAGGAGACUACCCUAAGAUUGGACCAAAAGGAAUAGGAAGCUGACCAGGCCAGAACAGGCCCUAAAGGGUCCAUUCUAACUAACUAGAACAGGUUAGCUAGAAAACAGUGAUGCUGAGCUAGAGAGAUGGCUCAGAGGUUAAGAGCACUUGCUACUCUUCCAGGGGACCUGAGUCCCAUUCCCAACAGAGGAUCACAACGCUUGGUUAACUCCAGCUCCAGGACAUCUGAUACCUUCUUCUGGCUUCCUCUGGAUCCUGAACAUGCAAGGCAAAUAUCCACAUGAAAUUCAUACAUACGUAAAUAAAAUAAAAUAAUCUAAAGUAAGGAAGGGA
rnacentral:lncRNA from 1 species